GAAAUGCGAUAAGUAAUGUGAAUUACAGAAUUCAGUGAAUCAUCGAAUCUUUGAACGCACAUUGCGCCCGCCAGAAUUCUGGCGGGCAUGCCUGUUCGAGCGUCAUUUCAACCCUCGAGCUCCCCUUUCGGGGGGAGCCCGGCGUUGGGGACCCGGCGCUAACAACGCCGGCCCCGAAAUGGAGUGGCGGCCCGUCCGCGGCGACCUCUGCGUAGUAACAACCACUCGCACCGGGACCCGGGCGCGGCCACGCCGUAAAACACCCCACCUUCCGAAUGUUGACCUCGAAUCAGGUAGGAAUACCCGCUGAACUUAAGC
rnacentral:misc_RNA from 1 species